rnacentral:rRNA from 1 species
UACUCGAGUGGCGAACGGGUGAGUAACACGUGGGUGAUCUGCCCUGCACUUCGGGAUAAGCCUGGGAAACUGGGUCUAAUACCGGAUAGGGGCCAUUUUUAGUGUGAUGGUUGGAAAGUUUUUUCGGUGUAGGAUGAGCUCGCGGCCCAUCAGCUUGUUGGUGGGGUAAUGGCCUACCAAGGCGGCGACGGGUAGCCGGCCUGAGAGGGUGGACGGCCACAUUGGGACUGAGAUACGGCCCAG